rnacentral:rRNA from 1 species
AAUAGAUACCCGGGUAGUCCACGCCGUAAACGAUGAGUGCUAAGUGUUAGAGGGUUUCCGCCCUUUAGUGCUGCAGCUAACGCAUUAAGCACUCCGCCUGGGGAGUACGGUCGCAAGACUGAAACUCAAAGGAAUUGACGGGGGCCCGCACAGGCGGUGGAGCAUGUGGUUUAAUUCGAAGCAACGCGAAGAACCUUACCAGGUCUUGACAUCCCACUGACCGGUAUAGAGAUAUACCUUUCCCUUCGGGGACAGUGGUGACAGGUGGUGCAUGGUUGUCGUCAGCUCGUGUCGUGAGAUGUUGGGUUAAGUCCCGCAACGAGCGCAACCCUUGAUCUUAGUUGCCAGCAUUUAGUUGGGCACUCUAAGGUGACUGCCGGUGACAAACCGGAGGAAGGUGGGGAUGACGUCAAAUCAUCAUGCCCCUUAUGACCUGGGCUACACACGUGCUACAAUGGAUGGUACAAAGGGCUGCAAGACUGCGAAGUCAAGCCAAUCCCAUAAAACCAUUCUCAGUUCGGAUUGCAGG